GACGAACGCUGGCGGCGUGCUUAACACAUGCAAGUCGAACGAAGAGCGAUGGACGCUUGCUUCUCUCAAUCUUAGUGGCGAACGGGUGAGUAACGCGUAAUCAACCUGCCCUUCAGAGGGGGACAACAGUUGGAAACGACUGCUAAUACCGCAUACGAUCUGACCUCGGCAUCGAGGAUAGAUGAAAGGUGGCCUCUAUUUAUAAGCUCUCACUGAAGGAGGGGAUUGCGUCUGAUUAGCUAGUUGGAGGGGUAACGGCCCACCAAGGCGAUGAUCAGUAGCCGGUCUGAGAGGAUGAACGGCCACAUUGGGACUGAGACACGGCCCAGACUCCUACGGGAGGCAGCAGGGGGGAAUCUUCCGCAAUGGACGAAAGUCUGACGGAGCAACGCCGCGGGAGUGAUGACGGCCUUCGGGUUGUAAAGCUCUGUUAAUCGGGACGAAAGGCCUUCUUGCGAAUAGUUAGAAGGAUUGACGGUACCGGAAGAGAAAGCCACGGCUAACUACGUG
rnacentral:rRNA from 1 species